rnacentral:lncRNA from 7 species
GCUCACCUGUCCUCUUUGCUUGUUAUUGUCUUGAAAUACGUGCCUAUAUUCUGUAUGUAAGUAGAAAUUCUGCAUGUGUAGCUGACCUGAAUUAAUUUCUGUCUUCUCUUCCAAAUGUCUGCAGAGAGACCACUGAAAGCUGAGUGGAGACGUUGAGGCGGCGAAUCAAAUCCAAAUCCUUCAUUUGAUUAGCGCGACCGUUUGGGUGGAUGGAUCGCCCUUGCAGUUUGCUCGGAUUUGUUUUGUUUGUGAUGUAAAAAAAUGAUGUCCUUAUCGUCGGCGAGAUGAAUGAACCGGCUUUGUUGUGAUGAAUCCGCUGGGAGUCAACUUAUUUAUUAUAGGGUUUUCCGUCAUGCCUUUUGUGAUGUAUAGCUGAAGUAUUUUCCCGGUUUGUUUUGGUUUCCAGACCCCCCAGACUUCCUCCCUUCUCCUUGUUGAGAGCUGCUGAUGUUAGAGAGAAUGAGAACAUGCAUGGAUUGAAUUG